UUCACGAAUCUUUAGCGAGGAACAGAGCUUUAUAAUGAGCUUCAUGUUUCGUUCCCGAAAGAGCAAAGCGGUGGCCUGAGUCCCACGAAGAAGAAGAAGAAGAAGGCAAUUCAUCUCUCUCUGCAGAAGGUUUGAAGAUGAGCGUCAUACAGAAUGACAAGUUCGCUAUCAAGCUUGGUGUGACAGGUCGAGUUUCUCAUAGGAGCUCCAGGUGGGAUGAAGUGUGCUACGGUAAAAUCAAGCAGAUCCUCAUAACCCAUGGUGACGCCAUUAAUUCCAUCCAAGUGGCUUAUCAUUUCAAGGGAACUCCAAUUCUUGCUCAUAGGCAUGGAGGCGAUGGAGACAGAUUCGAUUGUAUUAAUUUGUUGUCCUGGGAGACGCUCACAGUAGUGAAAGGCUAUUAUGGGCCACUUGGAAAUGAUGGUAUAGACGUUGUACUGUCGCUCACCUUUGUUACCAACGGAGGAAACACCUACGGGCCAUUUGGGCGAGAAAGCGGCACUCCCUUCUGCUUCAACAUUCGGAACGGUGUUCAUUUCUGGGGGUUUCAUGGAUACUCUAACAGUAGGUAUCUUUGUAACAUUGGCAUCUAUGUGAAGCCCACCGCAGAGUAUAAGUACCACUUCUCGCCGAAGCCGGAGAAGUUUGUGGCCGCGCGAUCAGUUUGUAAUGUCUCCUCAUGAUUCCAACAAGUACGUACUCGGCCUCUGAGUUGGUUCUGCACAAACCCUCACCUCCUCUACUCCUUUGCACCCUCCUCAUCCGAUCCAUUAAAUGUUCUACAAAUGUUGUUGAUCGAUCUGGGGAGGCAGGCUAUGAAAUUGAAAAGGGGUUCACUACCAGAGCUUGUGAAUCAUCUUGUGAAAUAAAGAGUACACCAUCAAUUUCAAUUAAUAAACUCCGAUUCUGCA